rnacentral:misc_RNA from 1 species
GUGGUAUACAAGUUCAAUCCAGAGCAAAUAGAUAAAAAAAUCUUCUUAAUUAUUACCCUUAGAUUUGAAUUCAAAAAACGCCUCGUAUUUUCCUAUUCGAUUACAAUUCUCUAUAUGAAAAGACAUUCUUUACAAGUUCAGGUAGCUUAAUCAGCAAUAUAGAUACAUCAUCAACACUGCCUCAAGCGGUUCACUAAGCUGCCUGCCUGCCCCAAACCCAUAAAGCAAGAAAUCUCAUGGCCACAAAAGCUGCAUCUAAUCUACAAAUAUGGAAGGACAAAGAGAACCAAAUAAGCUCUAAGUUUGGCAUUUCUUUUUGUCUGCAUCUCCAGACAAACCCAGAUACCUGGUUUUUCCUCAAAAAACUUCAAAUGCUGGACUCAAGACACAAAAUAAUUCCUCCAGUUUGAGAUAUUUGAGCUGCAAAACCAAAGCUAUGAUUUCUUUGCAAGCAAUGUUGAUUUAUUCCUCAUGUAUUGUGCUCCAUAUCCAGCUGUAGAUGCCACUGUUGUGGCAGCCACCAACCAGCUCAGGUAUGUUAUACAUGAUUGAGUUUCAUCAGUUCCAAACUCUGGUUGAAGGAGGGCUGCUGCUACUAAAAUCAAUUGGAAAACCGUAUUGACCUUGCUUAUGAAGAGAGGUUCAACCUUCUCUCGGUGGGUUCCAUCAAGAUUAAAGAAAUCAUGCCAACUACUCAACUUCCAAUCCAAACUAGUAGCUCUAUGAUAUAGCGCACCACCAACAAGUGCAACAUCUCGCAACACAACCAGUCCAACAAGUCCAGGGUGCAAAAGAUCCAUGUGCACCAUUGCCAAUGCAACAGAUCCAAUAAGGACCUUGUCAGCAAGAGGAUCAAGGUAGGAACCCACUACAGAGUUGAUUCUCAUUUUCCUGGCA